GAGUUUGAUCGUGGCUCAGAUUGAACGCUGGCGGCAGGCCUAACACAUGCAAGUCGAGCGGAUGAGUGGAGCUUGCUCCAUGAUUCAGCGGCGGACGGGUGAGUAAUGCCUAGGAAUCUGCCUGGUAGUGGGGGACAACGUUUCGAAAGGAACGCUAAUACCGCAUACGUCNUACGGGAGAAAGUGGGGGAUCUUCGGACCUCACGCUAUCAGAUGAGCCUAGGUCGGAUUAGCUAGUUGGUGAGGUAAAGGCUCACCAAGGCGACGAUCCGUAACUGGUCUGAGAGGAUGAUCAGUCACACUGGAACUGAGACACGGUCCAGACUCCUACGGGAGGCAGCAGUGGGGAAUAUUGGACAAUGGGCGAAAGCCUGAUCCAGCCAUGCCGCGUGUGUGAAGAAGGUCUUCGGAUUGUAAAGCUCUUUAAGUUGGGGGAAAGGGCAGUAAGUUUUUUCCUUGCUGUUUUGACGUUACCGACAGAAUAAGCACCGGCUAACUUCGUGCCAGCAGCCGCGGUAAUACGAAGGGUGCAAGCGUUAAUCGGAAUUACUGGGCGUAAAGCGCGCGUAGGUGGUUCGUUAAGUUGGAUGUGAAAGCCCCGGGCUCAACCUGGGAACUGCAUCCAAAACUGGCGAGCUAGAGUAUGGCAGAGGGUGGUGGAAUUUCCUGUGUAGCGGUGAAAUGCGUAGAUAUAGGNAAGGAACACCAGUGGCGAAGGCGACCACCUGGGCNUAAUACUGACCCUGAGGUGCGAAAAGCGUGGGGGAGCAAA
rnacentral:rRNA from 2 species